CCUACGGGUUGCACCAGUGGGGAAUAUUGCACAAUGGGCGCAAGCCUGAUGCAGCCAUGCCGCGUGUAUGAAGAAGGCCUUCGGGUUGUAAAGUACUUUCAGCGGGGAGGAAGGUGUUGUGGUUAAUAACCACAGCAAUUGACGUUACCCGCAGAAGAAGCACCGGCUAACUCCGUGCCAGCAGCCGCGGUAAUACGGAGGGUGCAAGCGUUAAUCGGAAUUACUGGGCGUAAAGCGCACGCAGGCGGUCUGUCAAGUCGGAUGUGAAAUCCCCGGGCUCAACCUGGGAACCGCAUUCGAAACUGGCAGGCUAGAGUCUUGUAGAGGGGGGUAGAAUUCCAGGUGUAGCGGUGAAAUGCGUAGAUAUAUGGAGGAACACCAGUGGCGAAGGCGACUCUCUGGUCUGUAACUGACGCUGACGCUCGAAAGCGUGGGGAGCAAACAGGAUUAGAUACCCCUGUAGUC
rnacentral:rRNA from 1 species